AGCAAAUAUUGGCGCCUGGCGGAAACGUCUCGAAGUCGCUCGAAGUCUCGAAGAUGGAAGACAUCAAACAGAAUGGCAGAUACAGUGGCGAAGACUUUGUUGGAGCAGAACAUUACUGUGUACCUGUAUGUGUCAAGAGAAAUAGCUAGACAUCUUCUUGACAGCCAACGAUAGGAACUGCAAGUGUACACACGGUGGAGAACCCACGUGACUUAUUUGGUAAAGUGCACGGCAACAAAUGUCAACAAGUCUCGAUUCAGGUAACGCUGAAUCUUUUAUUUGGUUCAGUCUGAACAAAUAUUAUCUGAUCUACAUCAGUAAAACUGCGGUCGUUCGAACAAUACAGAUAGGAACUCAUUGUAAAGAUGGAGGCUCGGAGUUAGAUGGGAAACAGCAAGGAGGAAUGAGAGCAUACUAUAUUACCAACUUACAGGCUAGGACUAAGACUUGAAAAUCUAGAUACGAGCUGAGCAUGGAACAUUAGAAUGUUCUAGACUAAAGGCUGAAAUGUGAUUACAAAAUAAUUGUGUUUCAAAGCUUGCUGAAUUAUAUAAGAUACAUGCAGUUAAGAGUUUAUAGGACAUCAAUGCGAAAAUGACAACAAUGCAUCUCUAAACCUUGUGAAAAUGUUUUAUGCUCAAAUCGUUUUCAUACUAAUUUUACACAGCAUUUUUUUCAGUAGUGUAAGACAAACGAACAUUUUGAAAGAGCAAUAUUUGGUAACAGUAUGUUUUGCUAUUUAUCUUAAUAAAAUGUUAAACUCAUCAAAACGUUAUUUUAACUCGGCAAAAUACUGGAAUGCACUUCUAACUAGACCAUUGUGAUCGUUCAAUGUGUCCUGAUUAGGUGUGUUUCGCCUUAACAUGCCUGCUGAGUCCAGAUUUGAACUUGAAUGCUGAGCGACACUGUAGACAUUUGUGACCUGUCAUUCCCCUGUGUCUAGUAGAAAUCUGGUCACUGAGAUUGGUCGUGUCACCCAAUUUGAACCCACACACAUCACAGGUUAGCUUCGAUUGGCCGCUUUCGCGUCUUUCGUGUAUCUUCAAGUCUUGCAAGAGCAGUUUUGCCACAAUAUUUGCAAACGUGCAACUUUGUCUCGCCGUGAUUGCUGCACCUAUAAAAAAGACAUGUACUGUCACAAGUUAACAAGAAAUGCUGGCAAUGUCAGUACUUGAAUAUAAUUUAUAAACACUAUAUUACUGCCACGCAAUGAGUGUUUGAUCGUGUAAUCAGCAUCAUAAAACUAAACGACCCUGUCCACUGAAACAUGGACCACAUUAUUAUGUGAAAAACGCAACCCCUAUAAAACGUUGAAAACACAGUCAGACGAUGGCAAAUCUUAACCUCUACACGAGGGGAGUCAUAAUAAAAGUAUGACUGUUAGUAUAUUCUUAUUUCUCUGCGAAAAAAUAAAGCUAAAAACUAACCCGUGUCUGUGUAAACACUUUCCCGCAUAAACGAUGGCAAUUGACCAGAAUGCCUUCUAUCGUGGUCUACUAGAUGUUGUUUUUUAUUUUGAAAUGCCAUUCCGCAUUCUUUGCAUAAAGUCUGAGUCUUCAUAUUCUGAAAUGAAACAAAUGUCACUAUCAAAUCUAAGUCUAUCAAAUCAGCUAGCAAUCGAAGACAUUAAAAGUACAAGAACACUUUUCUUUUUCAAAAUUGACAAAAUGAAGAGUUAUUAAGCAGUUAUGUGUUACUGUUUACCAUGUAUAAUGAAUACAAACACGUUCUACAUAUACGAUACGAAAAAGAAGUGGAACACCCUUUACAAAAACUUCAAGCCCUUUAUUUGUCAAUUGCGAAUAUAUUGUUAAAAUACGGGACUGAAUUUUAGUGUGAUAACACAUGUUUCCAUGAUUCAUGAAAAUGAGCCCAUCAUUUAGAGACUCCGUCGGUCUAACUGUUAAAACGCGUUCAUCUUCCAUUACAAUGUGUCUUUUCAAACAUGGAGCAAUGUUCAAUAAUGCAUUUGAAGAAAAGAAAAAAGAAAUAAGUUUAUAAUAACUCGUUUUAGCACCAGUCAGUGAAAUAAUGAGUAUAUACACUGAAGGUUGUAAACGACCGUGUACUUUAUCAAACCUAAA